rnacentral:rRNA from 1 species
GACAGAGGGUGCAAACGCUGUUCGGAAUUACUGGGCGUAAAGCGCACGUAGUCGGCUUUGCAAGUCGGGUGUGAAAUCCCCGGGCUCAACCUGGGAACUGCAUCCGAGACUGCAUUGCUAGAGUAUGGGAGAGGGAAGCGGAAUUUCUGGUGUAGCAGUGAAAUGCGUAGAUAUCAGAAGGAACAUCAGUGGCGAAGGCGGCUUCCUGGACCAAUACUGACGAUCAGGUGCGAAAGCGUGGGGAGCAAACAGG